AUUGAACGCUGGCGGAAUGCUUUACACAUGCAAGUCGAACGGCAGCACGGGGGCAACCCUGGUGGCGAGUGGCGAACGGGUGAGUAAUACAUCGGAACGUGCCCGGUCGUGGGGGAUAACGUAGCGAAAGUUACGCUAAUACCGCAUACGAUCUGAGGAUGAAAGCGGGGGACCUUCGGGCCUCGCGCGAUCGGAGCGGCCGAUGUCAGAUUAGGUAGUUGGUGGGGUAAGGGCCUACCAAGCCGACGAUCUGUAGCUGGUCUGAGAGGACGACCAGCCACACUGGGACUGAGACACGGCCCAGACUCCUACGGGAGGCAGCAGUAGGGAAUUUUGGACAAUGGGCGCAAGCCUGAUCCAGCCAUUCCGCGUGCAGGACGAAGGCCUUCGGGUUGAAAACUGCUUUUGUAUGGAACGAAAAGGCUCUGGCUAAUACCUGGGGCUCAUGACGGUACCGUAAGAAUAAGCACCGGCUAACUACGUG
rnacentral:rRNA from 1 species